rnacentral:rRNA from 1 species
GAGUUUGAUCUUGGCUCAGGAUGAACGCUAGCGGCAGGCUUAACACAUGCAAGUCGAGGGGUAGAAGUUGCUUGCAACUUUGAGACCGGCGCACGGGUGCGUAACGCGUAUGCAAUCUACCUUGUACAGGGGGAUAGCCCAGAGAAAUUUGGAUUAAUACCCCAUAGUGUAAUUGAAUGGCAUCAUUUAAUUACUAAAGUUCCAAACGGUACAAGAUGAGCAUGCGUUCCUAUUUAGCUAGUUGGUGUGGUAACGGCA